GCGAAGGGCCGAUUUCAAGAACAUCUUUGCCCUGUCAAGCACUUACCUACCUAAGAAGUGUUGGUGAAACCAGUUUGUCCUCUACUUCAGUAUAGACUAAGCAAUAAAGGGCUCUGCUGCCUGCUCCUGAAGACUAGACUACAAAUGAGGGGAAAACAAAGUCUCCCGCCUAUGCUCCUAUAUUCCCAGAAACACACAAACGUUUAAACGUCUGCUUCAUGCCUGAAACAAAGAGAAAAAUAAGUAGAAGAAAUUAUUGAAAUGAGAAAUUCAGAUAUUGAAUGUGUUGAAUUGCUUGAAAGGUUACGUUUCUCUUUGUUGUGGCUACAUAUAUUAAGAAGAUUUGCUGCUGGAGAACAUCUAUGCUGGAAGUCUGGUUGCUGAUAGACAGCAGUAGUUUUUCUCCACAGCAAUUUAAGGAAGAAUAAUUAACUCCGAAAGGCUCAGAAUUUAAACAGUGUGUCUAGAGUGCAGCUGGAGGGAGCAGAAUAGGCAGCAGACCCAGACCUAUAUUUUAUAGAUGUUUUCCAACACUUUAUAUUUAUUUUACUCUUCUAUAUAACUGUGAUCAGAUAGGUUUUGGACAGAACCAAAUAAGACAUUGUCAUGAACAGCAUCACACCGUGCUCCAGGACAGAAACUUCUUUGGAGAGGGAGAGAAGGACAGAGCUCCUUUGUUUGAGAGACGCUUUUGACAACCAAAGGUUUACACAGACACACAUACUCAGGAAGCCGUAAGCAGCCCUCUGCUGCCAGUUCAGUGACUCAGCAUGCCAAAGAGCAGGGAAAUGCUAGGGUCUGGCAAAAUACUUCUUCCAGGGAAUCAAAUCAGAGAUACCUCUUCUAUUUGAUCUCUGUACUUUUUCUGCAUCACAGAGUUUUCAUAUAGAUAGUGGGUCGGAUUGCAUCACAGAAAAAUCAGAUUACAUUGUAAAAGUCAAGGCUGCCUAAAUAUAUAGUUAUCAUUUGUAUUUAGGUGAAAUUAUUAAAGAUGGUUUAAAUCUAGCAAAGGCCCAAGAAGUGGGGUUUUGCAGCUGCCAUUCACGAUGGCACAUUCUUGCCAUUUGAGAAAUAAAGUUUGCAUUCCUAAUUUUAUUUCUCCUUUGAUGAGACACUCUCACUGACUGAUCAGCUAUACCCGUGGAGAUCAUUCUGUCAAAACAUUUGUUCAUGAUCUGGCAGCUCUAACAAGCAAGUCCAAUGACUGAAUGGAGCAGGGGAGCUGUGCUAAAUGGUUGAAUCUCUCUCAUGUCUGAAUGACAUUUGGCAAACACUGCCACAUUCUCUUAUUGAUGUGCUUACUAACUUCAUUGAAUGUUAUUGGAAAAGAUACAUGCUCACUGAAGAAUGACAGGAGACAUAUCUCAUUUAAAGCAGAGCCCUUGCUCUUGUGCAUGUUGUAAUACAUUUCUUCUUGCAGCCAAGAGCCACAGGCUGGCCCAUGUUUCCUAUACUUGUGAACUAUGACUGGGUUUCUCCAGUAACACGUUGUUUAAAGCUAUAUCUUACUCUUUUUCCUUGCUCUUUCUUUUCUUGCACUUCAGUUUACGAAUUACAAAUUUUAUUUGAUUUCAGUGCUAUUUGUUUUCAGGAGAAGGGGCAGAGAUUUCUGUGUAAUGUUCUCCAAUUUAUAUGAGCAGAAUCUUACUGGAUUGGCUUUAAUUUUCAUGCUAAUGGUUUGCUAUGCCGAGGCAUUAUAAAAUGACAACUCAUUCAUGGGAGGCCCAUCUUUGCCUGCCAUCAUACAGUCCCUGUCUCCUCUGAGAUGGCCUAUGAGCUCUCUCCCACUCUUGGGUCUGAUAAGCCAAAUGGCCGUGGCCACUAAUACCAUGGUUUGUGGAAUACCUAUGAUUUGUAAGCCCAGUAGGCUCAGGUAGAUUGCAGGAUAAGAAAUGGGAGACUCUGUCAGCUAGGAUCCCUGUGGUCCUUGGGGUCUACCUUCUCCCUUUCCACAGCUGGCAGGCAGGAGGAAAGCAACCAUAGCUUCAGCUCUGCUUUCUGGGGUUACUUUUAUUUGCUGUCAUUACAGUUAUUUGCUGCCAUUACCAUGCAGAGACAGGUAUGUGAAUCUUGGGUGAGCUGGUGUCAUGCCAGGAAUUGUGAUAUCCCCCAAAGCAGGGCAUCUCCGGGAACCAAAUCUUGCUCCUGGCUGUGCAGAAAUCUCAGUCCCCAGAGAUCCCCAGAGGUUGUAUAAAAUGUGGGAGAGGCACAUUGCUAAACUCCAUUUUUCUGAACAAAAAUUUUCAUCCUAGAAAUGAGCUCAAAGGAAGCUGGUAGAAAUAAAUACAAUGAGUACACAGGCAAGUAUGGUGUUAGACUGUCACUGGGAACCUGUGUUCCUGCAGAGCUGAUUCCUCUUUCUGAUAUUAAGGGUCUCAAAUCUUGUCUGUAUAUUGACUUAUUCAUUAAUAGUUUGUGUGUAUGAAUAAUUCACCAUCUACAUACCAUAUCUCUACUUUAAAUGCAUUACAAAGCAUAUAUUAGACAGAGAUUGACCUCUACUGUGGUUAACAUUAAGAUUUAUUGUUCCAGGAAGCUCCAGAUAUAUUGACUUGAAUCAAAGCCUAGAGGUUCAAUUAAAGUUGAUACUGUAUUAACAAAAGGCCACAAGUCACAUUUCUUCUGUACUCUGCUUUGUGAAGGAUGUCAGUUCCCUUUCUUUAAUUUUUCUUCCACUGAGGCUGAAGUGUAACUGUAAUCAUAA